GAUCGUGGCUAAGGAUGAACGCUAGCUACAGGCUUAACACAUGCAAGUCGAGGGGCAGCAUGGUCUUAGCUUGCUAAGGCCGAUGGCGACCGGCGCACGGGUGAGUAACGCGUAUCCAACCUGCCUUACACUCUUGGACAGCCUUCUGAAAGGGAGAUUAAUACAAGAUGUUAUCAUGAGUAAGCAUUUUCGCAUGAUUAAAGGUUUACCGGUGUAAGAUGGGGAUGCGUUCCAUUAG
rnacentral:rRNA from 1 species